rnacentral:rRNA from 1 species
AUUGAACGCUGGCGGCAUGCUUUACACAUGCAAGUCGAACGGUAACAGGGUGCUUGCACCGCUGACGAGUGGCGAACGGGUGAGUAAUGCGUCGGAACGUGCCGAGUAGUGGGGGAUAACGCAGCGAAAGUUGUGCUAAUACCGCAUACGUACUGAGGUAGAAAGUGGGGGACCUUCGGGCCUCACGCUAUUCGAGCGGCCGACGUCUGAUUAGCUAGUAGGUGAGGUAAAGGCUCACCUAGGCGACGAUCAGUAGCGGGUCUGAGAGGAUGAUCCGCCACACUGGGACUGAGAAACGGCCGAGACUCCUAGGGGAGGCAGCAGUGGGAAAGUUUGGACAAUGGGCGAAGCCUGAUCCAGCCAUGCCGCGUGUCUGAAGAAGGCCUUCGGGUUGUAAAGGACUUUUGUCAGGGAGGAAAUCCCUAGUGCUAAUAACACUGGGGGAUGACAGUACCUGAAGAAUAAGCACCGGCUAACUACGUGCCAGCAGCCGCCGUAA